rnacentral:misc_RNA from 1 species
AUUAGUCUGAAAGUGCGAGCCUCUCGAAGAGAAAGAGGAACAUGAAGCCUAGGAUUUUCUCGGUUGUUUCUACGUUGCUGUUAUUUUACGCCUCAGUGGUUCGACCUAAGGAGACAACGGACAGAGUGGAAUGUCUGCACGAUGAUAGAUUCUACCGAAAUCCAAAAACUCCAGCGCACAAAAUCUGGACGCAGGAUGAAUGCGCGAAGUACUACCUCUGCUUAGAUAGCGACGUCUUUGAGUUCAAGUGUUCGCAUGGCUUACUCUUCGACGUAUCCCGUCAGAUAUGUGAUUUUAAGGCAAAUGUCGACAACUGCGACGUGAGUUUGGAGGAAAUACCCCCGAAGCCACUUCUCGACGACGGUGAAUGCGAGGAUGAUACCUUGGCAUGUGGAGACGGAACGUGUUUACCUUCCCUUUACUUUUGCGACGGAAGCGUUGAUUGUCCGGAUGCCUCGGACGAGGCCUGGUGCGAUACAGAGAAGGACCGCAACGCGGCACCGUCUUGCGACCCUGAAAAAUGCCACCUGCCAGACUGUUGGUGUUCCAAAGAAGGUACCAGAGUACCUGGAAACCUGAGCGUCUCCAACAUUCCCCAGAUGAUCUCGAUAACUUUCAACGAUGCCGUCAACGCCGAAAAUAUUGACCUUUACUCAAACAUAUUCAACGACGCGAGGAGAAAUCCGAACGGAUGCCCAAUUCGUGGUACAUUCUACGUAAGCCAUCAAUUCACAAAUUACAGAGACGUACAAAGUUUGUGGAACAAUGGCCAUGAAAUUGCAGUUCAUUCCGUAACACAUCGAGGCCCUGAAGAAUGGUGGUCGAAAAAUGCAACUAUCGAAGAUUGGUUCGACGAAAUGGUCGGGGAGGCGAAUAUCAUACACAAAUACGCGGGAGUACGAAUCGAGGAGAUCAGAGGACUGCGAGUGCCGUUUCUCCAAGUCGGAUGGAACCGUCAGUUUCUCAUGAUGACGGAGUUCGGAUUCGCCUACGAUUCGACAAUCGUAGCCCCGUUCUCGAAUCCACCGAUUUGGCCCUACACCCUAGAUCAUCAACCUCCUCACCCUUGCGGCAGCCCCGGUCAGUUGUGUCCAACACGUUCGUACCCAGGCCUCUGGGAGAUACCGAUAAACCAACUGCUGCUAGGGAAUUACACGUGCACCAUGAUUGACUCUUGUACGCGGGAUCUGUCAGGGGAAGAAAUAUAUCGUAUGCUGACGGUUAACUUUAACAGACAUUAUCUACAAAAUCGGGCACCCUAUGGACUCUACUUUCAUGCAGCUUGGUUCAAGAACCCAGCAUACCACUACGCGUUCUCGAAAUUCAUUGACGACACUCUGCAGCUUCCAGACGUUUACUUUGUAACUAGUAAUCAAAUGGUUGAAUGGAUGCGAAAUCCAACGCCGUUAAACAAGCUAAAGAAUUUUCAGCCAUGGAACUGCAACAAGCGGCAAUUCGAGCCCCGGGAAAUUGCCUGCGCCUUGCCGAACACGUGCAAGUUGUACAGUAGUGUCUUAAAGUCUGAUAGAUAUUUGUACACGUGUUACGAAUGUCCGAAACAAUAUCCCUGGUUAAGAAAUGAGUUUGGAUUGAACUAAGGUUAUUCCAAGUAGUAAAAAAACAAGUGACCGCCGGUUAAUAAUACGAAUGAUUACUGUGAAUUCCGCGUUCGUAAAAUAAGGAAAAAAGCCAUCGACCAUAAACCGAAGACGUACCGACACAUGUAGAUGGUCAACUUUAUGGAAAUGAUCUUCUGACGUGGAAUUUAGUGGGAAGUCAUAUUUGGCAAAUUUUAGUGAAUGCUGAAAUCGAUUAAUUCAUACCCAAUAUCAACGUAAUUUUGAGAGAGGAAUUCAUUACGGCUGGCAAACCGAGUUGCAAAGAGGUGGAAGAGAAAAAUAACAAAUUCAUAGCUACCAAGUUCCAGUUCCAGUUUAUUCAAUGUACCUUAGUUCUAUUACAAGUGUUCAGGUGUCAGUGUAUACUAAUUUACCAAAUUUCCAAAUAGUAUAGUUCUAAUAUGUUGCACUAAUGCAUUAUAGUAUUCAUGAUAUAAUAUAUCAAUAAUUCCUAUAAUAAUACAUUCACUGGUAUAAUUAGGAUAAUAUUUCCAACGUUAUUGGUGUUCAAGAUAAAAAGUUGCAGAACAAUGAACUAACAUGACACAAGGAGUCUAAAUACAGCAUAGGGAAAAAAUACUACGAUAUAUAUUGCAUUAAGCUGAAUAUAAACAAUGUUGUACAAAAUAAUUAUUAAUGCAGUUUCUAAGUGCGGUUUCAAUUUCAGCCUUAGUACAGGUGCAAUUCACCGUCGCAGAAAACGAGACGUGUAAUAGAAUACAAUAGAUACAAUAGAUUGGAAUGUUACGAUUUUACAUAACCUGGAAUAA